CAGGAUUUAUGAACGUGUCAUUGAUCCCCCAGAAACGAAUUUAACACCUGAAAGCAGCUUAUGGCUGGGACAGAGGAACAGGAAACAUGGUUUCUUUAAGGGUGUUAUCCAAGAUGUGAAAGUCAUCUUUAUACCUAAUGGAUAUAUAACACAGUGUCCUAAUCUGAAUCGCACAUGCCCAACCUGCAGUGAUUUCUUAAGUCUGGUGCAAGGAAUCAUGGAUUUGCAAGAACUC